rnacentral:rRNA from 1 species
GAUGAACGCUGGCGGCGUGCUUAACACAUGCAAGUCGAACGAGAAAUGUAGACGGAAACCUUCGGGCGGAAGCCUUCAUUUCGAGUGGCGGACGGGUGAGUAACGCGUGGGUAACCUGCCUCAUACAGGGGGAUAACAGUUGGAAACGACUGUUAAUACCGCAUAAGACCAUAGCAUCGCAUGAUGCGGGGGUAAAAACUCCGGUGGUAUGAGAUGGACCCGCGUUCGAUUAGCCAGUUGGCAGGGUAACGGCCCACCAAAGCGACGAUCGAUAGCCGAGCUGAGAGGAUGAGCGGCCACAUUGGGACUGAGACACGGCCGAAACUCCUACGGGAGGGAGCAGUGGGGGAUAUUGCACAAGGGGGGAAACCCUGAUGCAGCGACGCCGCGUGAGUGAAGAAGUACGGCGGUAUGUAAAGCUCUAGCAGCAGGGAAGAAAAUGACGGUACCUGAGUAAGAAGCCCCGGCUAACUACGUG